AAGUCCACAAUCAAUUCAAUUGUCUUGCCACGAUCUAUGGAGAUUACAGACAACGUUAUACUACAGGUUCUGUAUGCUAUUUAAAGCCGACCUAACAUUGAGUCCCUUCAUGACGGUGUGUUGCACUGCACUGCUGUGAUUAGACUAAAAAUAAAUCGCUACCAAGGCUCCAAAUAGCAACACACUUACACCGUAGCAUAAUGAGGGUAUCUACAUGUAAACCGAAGCAUUGAGAACUGUGUAAGUCUACAGGCAGUUUAUUAAAAAGAAAAACAGUACCGUUCACGUCUCGUUCACGUAUACAGACGGGCGCCAUCUUGGGAAAACACAACUCUCUGGGACACAACUUUCUUUUACUGUCUAUGCGUAAAUCUCGCGUGAAACCUUGUUGCCGGAACAGCAGGGAAGAGGCAACAGGAUAGCAGCACGAAAGAUACACAGGAUAGAACUACACACGGAAUUCGAACGAAUUUGAAGACAUAGAAGAACGAACCCUUUUAGUUUGAUGGACGUCCUUAUCAGUCUAUGGUCUAACUUAUGAACGUGUCGGGUCAACGUCAACAAUAAAUACAAUACAAUGUGAUGCUGUGUGAGAUUACCGACUGGUCUUCGUUGAUUGGAUCCUGCACACUGCCUGUGUUCUGGGGCACCCAUGGAGGAUCAAACAUGGGCACACAUGGCAUACCCAAGAUGGGAGAAGGUUUAUGACUUCACCAGCGGCAGCAGCCAUAUGUUCAUCCACACUUAGAAGCAGCUCCCAGGCAGCAGGCUGGAUGUCUCCAU